rnacentral:rRNA from 1 species
AGUGAACGCUGGCGGUAGGCCUAACACAUGCAAGUCGAACGGCAGCACAGGAGAGCUUGCUCUCUGGGUGGCGAGUGGCGGACGGGUGAGGAAUACAUCGGAAUCUACUCUGUCGUGGGGGAUAACGUAGGGAAACUUACGCUAAUACCGCAUACGACCUACGGGUGAAAGCAGGGGAUCUUCGGACCUUGCGCGGUUGAAUGAGCCGAUGUCGGAUAAGCUAGUUGGCGGGGUAAAGGCCCACCAAGGCGACGAUCCGUAGCUGGUCUGAGAGGAUGAUCAGCCACACUGGAACUGAGACACGGUCCAGACUCCUACGGGAGGCAGCAGUGGGGAAUAUUGGACAAUGGGCGCAAGCCUGAUCCAGCCAUACCGCGUGGGUGAAGAAGGCCUUCGGGUUGUAAAGCCCUUUUGUUGGGAAAGAAAUCCAGCUGGCUAAUACCCGGUUGGGAUGACGGUACCCAAAGAAUAAGCACCGGCUAACUUCGUGCCAGCAGCCGCCGUAA